GAACCGCAUGCGGAUAACACUUGACGAGCAGGCGCGAUUCCGAUUCGGCUCCAGUUUUAUCUGGGACGCCAUGGCUCGCACCACGUUCGCCCUGCUGCUGUUUGCGCUGCUCGUCGCCACGGUGGCCGUGGCGCUAGUGUCGGCCGGCGGAGACAUCCCCAGCAGAGCCAACUGCCCGCUCGGCUACGUCGAACGCAAGGGGCGCUGCGUGUCCAGUGUCACCAAGGUGGUGGAGGUAUCUACGAAGAAGCCCUGAACAUGUGAUGCAGUUAAUCCUUUGCAAAUUGAAAAUCGAUCGCAACUACCCAAUAUGUCAUCUGACGGUGAGGAGUGUACAGGCCUGUCACUGAGAAAUCUCGUGGACAGUAAUUGUGUUCGAAGUAUCUCCGAAGAAAUUUUCGAAUAAUAUGUUCGAAAACAAAUUUGAUUUUAUGUGUAUGCAUCAUUUCUUUGAUAAUUAAAGUACGUUAAUGAAA